CGACGACCAUUCACCAUGGGAUUAAACUUGGCUUCUUCCACAGCACACAGGGCAGGACAGAAGACAAGCCACACAACAAACAAGACAACAGAGGGUGCAGGAAGUGCAUGAACGAAACGCGAAGUCGGUCUGUGGGCGCGCAGCUGAGACAAUCCAACCAAUCCAGAGUCCACACUCCGGGCCACUACCCACCUGCCAUGAUCACCUGCCACCAACCAGACAACGGGGGACAGCCCUGUGCCCCAGGGCCCGCUGAAAUGAUUCAAACUAGCCAAUUCUAAGUCUGCUCACCGGCCUCACCUCUUCCUACUUGAGGAAACCACAAUAAAGGCUCCGCCUGUUCCUGUUUUCUCUUCCCUCCGCCGCCUGACCAACUCCAGUGCUUCUGGCUGCAGCCCCCUGCGCGGCAGGCCGUGCCUGCUGUGUCUAACUAUAUGUUUGCAGACCUUGUGCCGCUGAAACAGAAGGUGGGACCCUACUGGUGGAGCAGCUUUGUUACUGCACUGGAAUGUAUCCCCCUGCCACAAGGGAAGUCUGCAGGAAGGGGGCCCGAGCUGCCUGCAGUAGCUGUAGGAAGGCAGAAAAGAUGCCCCUCUGCUCCUCAGUCACCCUCCUUCUGCGUCUGGGCGGAGUCCUCGCCUUCACUCCCACCGACACCAGGGAGGAAAUGCUGACAGGGGCAUGAAGCGGGCCCUUUCUCACCUGCCUCCUGCCUGUAAUUCAGUGGGGCUCAAGUUUCCAAGAAUGAUUCCUGAGAGUCUAGGCUCAAACUGAGGAACGUCAGAAUCCCUGGAGGGCUCAGUAAAACACCCAUCACCGGGCUCCAGCCCCAGAGUUUCUGGCGCAGUAGGUCUGGGACGGGACCCAGGAAUCUGCAUUUCUACCAGGUUGUUCCCCAGUGAUGUCGAUGCUGGGACCACACUUUGAAAACCACUGUUUUCAAACCUACACUGCGAUGUAGAAAUGAAGUGAGAAAUAAAAUUAAAAACAACU